UAGCAUAUCAAUAAGCGGAGGAAAAGAAACCAACAGGGAUUGCCCUAGUAACGGCGAGUGAAGCGGCAACAGCUCAAAUUUGAAAUCUGGCUCUUUUAGAGUCCGAGUUGUAAUUUGCAGAGGGCGCUUUGGCGUUGGCAGCGGUCCAAGUUCUUUGGAACAGGACGUCACAGAGGGUGAGAAUCCCGUACGUGGUCGCUAGCCUUCGCCGUGUAAAGCCCCUUCGACGAGUCGAGUUGUUUGGGAAUGCAGCUCUAAAUGGGAGGUAAAUUUCUUCUAAAGCUAAAUACUGGCCAGAGACCGAUAGCGCACAAGUAGAGUGAUCGAAAGAUGAAAAGCACUUUGGAAAGAGAGUCAAAUAGCACGUGAAAUUGUUGAAAGGGAAGCGCUUGCAGCCAGACUUGCCUGUAGUUGCUUAUCCGGACUUUUGUCCGGUGCACUCUUCUGCGGGCAGGCCAGCAUCAGUUUAGGCGGUUGGAUAAAGGUCUCUAUCACGUACCUCCCUUCGGGGUUGGCCUUAUAGGGGAGACGACAUGCAACCAGCCUGAACUGAGGUCCGCGCAUCUGCUAGGAUGCUGGCGUAAUGGCUGUAAGCGGCCCGUCUUGAAACACGGACCAAGGAGUCUAACAUCUAUGCGAGUGUUUGGGUGUCAAGCCCAGACGCGUAAUGAAAGUGAACGGAGGUGGGAACCUUUUAGGUGCACCAUCGACCGAUCCUGAUGUCUUCGGAUGGAUUUGAGUAAGAGCAUGGCUGUUGGGACCCGAAAGAUGGUGAACUAUGCUUGAAUAGGGUGAAGCCAGAGGAAACUCUGGUGGAGGCUCGCAGCGGUUCUGACGUGCAAAUCGAUCGUCAAAUUUGGGCAUAGGGGCGAAAGACU
rnacentral:rRNA from 1 species